GCAGGGAGCCUGAGCAGCUCCGCCCGGCUUGGGCCCCGGGGAGGGGACGGGGAGGGGGAAGAGGGCCCCGGAAGAUGGGGAGGACCUUGGGGGGGGGCGGGGAGUGGCGCGAGGAAGCUCAGAGGGGACUGGUGGGCUGGGAUCCCGAGGGGCAACCCUGGGGGUGGUUAAGAGGCGCUCCAAGGAGCCGGCGUGUAAAGGGCACGUGAGAUGGGUGAGCGAAUGCCAGGGGAAAGGUACGGAUGGAAGGUGAGUUGGAGGACCGAGAGGGAGCAGCGAUUCUGGAGAGGGGACGUGGGAAGCGAAGGCAAAUGUUGGGGAGAGGGAACUAGACUUCCAAGGAGUAAAUGUUAAACGUGCAGUUUAAUCUUUAGGCAGAGCUUGUGUUUGCUGAGUUCCCUUGUGAGGAACCACUGUAUUGGUAGGAAAUCUUUGUGUCCGCACGUUUUAGACUGAAAUGUGCUA